UGGGCGGGACGGGGUGGAGUAAUGUCUGGGAAACUGCCUGAUGGAGGGGGAUAACUACUGGAAACGGUAGCUAAUACCGCAUAACGUCGCAAGACCAAAGAGGGGACCUUCGGGCCUCUUGCCAUCGGAUGUGCCCAGAUGGGAUUAGCUAGUAGGUGGGGUAACGGCUCACCUAGGCGACGAUCCCUAGCUGGUCUGAGAGGAUGACCAGCCACACUGGAACUGAGACAGGUCCAG
rnacentral:rRNA from 1 species